rnacentral:sRNA from 3 species
UAUCUCUCCGUACGGGGAAGGAUGAGAAGCUUCGACUAAGGUUCGAUUCGAGCGCAGCGAGAAAGCGUUGCCGCAG